rnacentral:siRNA from 1 species
CUUCAAGGUUUCUGGAGAUGCC